rnacentral:rRNA from 1 species
UGAAGACUUUGCCGGAGUUAGCUGAGAGGUGGUGCAUGGCCGUCGUCAGUUCGUACUGUGAAGCAUCCUGUUAAGUCAGGCAACGAGCGAGACCCACGCCCACAGUUGCCAGCGUACUCUCUGGAGUGACGGGUACACUGUGGGGACCGCCGCUGCUAAAGCGGAGGAAGGAAUGGGCAACGGUAGGUCAGUAUGCCCCGAAUAUCCCGGGCUACACGCGAGCUACAAUGGUUGGUACAAUGGGUAUCUACCCGAAAGGGGACGGGAAUCUCCUAAAACCAAUCUUAGUUCGGAUUGAGGGCUGCAACUCGCCCUCAUGAAGCUGGAAUCCGUAGUAAUCGCGUUUCAACAGAACGCGGUGAAUACGUCCCUGCUCCUU